rnacentral:rRNA from 2 species
AGUCGAACGGCAGCGCGGGGCAACCUGGCGGCGAGUGGCGAACGGGUGAGUAAUAUAUCGGAACGUACCCAGAAGUGGGGGAUAACGUAGCGAAAGUUACGCUAAUACCGCAUACGAUCUACGGAUGAAAGUGGGGGACCUUCGGGCCUCAUGCUUGUGGAGCGGCCGAUAUCUGAUUAGCUAGUUGGUGAGGUAAAGGCCCACCAAGGCGACGAUCAGUAGCUGGUCUGAGAGGACGACCAGCCACACUGGGACUGAGACACGGCCCAGACUCCUACGGGAGGCAGCAGUGGGGAAUUUUGGACAAUGGGCGCAAGCCUGAUCCAGCAAUGCCGCGUGAGUGAAGAAGGCCUUCGGGUUGUAAAGCUCUUUUGUCAGGGAAGAAACGGUGCGGACUAAUAUUCUGCGCUAAUGACGGUACCUGAAGAAUAAGCACCGGCUAACUACGUGCCAGCAGCCGCGGUAAUACGUAGGGUGCAAGCGUUAAUCGGAAUUACUGGGCGUAAAGCGUGCGCAGGCGGUUUUGUAAGUCUGUCGUGAAAGCCCCGGGCUCAACCUGGGAAUUGCGAUGGAGACUGCAAGGCUUGAAUCUGGCAGAGGGGGGUAGAAUUUCCACGUGUAGCAGUGAAAUGCGUAGAGAUGUGGAGGAACACCGAUGGCGAAGGCAGCCCCCUGGGUCAAGAUUGACGCUCAUGCACGAAAGCGUGGGAGCAAACAGGAUUAGAUACCCUGGUAGUCCACGCCCUAAACGAUGUCUACUAGUUGUCGGGUUUUAAUUAACUUGGUAACGCAGCUAACGCGUGAAGUAGACCGCCUGGGGAGUACGGUCGCAAGAUUAAAACUCAAAGGAAUUGACGGGGACCCGCACAAGCGGUGGAUGAUGUGGAUUAAUUCGAUGCAACGCGAAAAACCUUACCUACCCUUGACAUGGAAGGAAUCCCGGAGAGAUUUGGGAGUGCCCGAAAGGGAACCUUCACACAGGUGCUGCAUGGCUGUCGUCAGCUCGUGUCGUGAGAUGUUGGGUUAAGUCCCGCAACGAGCGCAACCCUUGUCAUUAGUUGCUACGCAAGAGCACUCUAAUGAGACUGCCGGUGACAAACCGGAGGAAGGUGGGGAUGACGUCAAGUCCUCAUGGCCCUUAUGGGUAGGGCUUCACACGUCAUACAAUGGUACAUACAGAGGGCCGCCAACCCGCGAGGGGGAGCUAAUCCCAGAAAGUGUAUCGUAGUCCGGAUUGUAGUCUGCAACUCGACUACAUGAAGUUGGAAUCGCUAGUAAUCGCGGAUCAGCAUGUCGCGGUGAAUACGUUCCCGGGUCUUGUACACACCGCCCGUCACACCAUGGGAGCGGGUUUUACCAGAAGUAGGUAGCUUAACCGCAAGGGGGGC